AUUGAACGCUGGCGGCAGGCUUAACACAUGCAAGUCGAGCGGAGACUUCGGUCUUAGCGGCGAACGGGUGAGGAAUGCCUGGGAAUCUGCCUGUUAGUGGGGGAUAACGAAUCGAAAGGUUCGCUAAUACCGCAUACGUCCUACGGGAGAAAGCAGGGGGACCUUCGGGCCUUGCGCUAACAGAUGAGCCCAGGUCGGAUUAGCUAGUAGGUGGGGUAAAGGCUCACCUAGGCGACGAUCCGUAGCUGGUCUGAGAGGAUGAUCAGCCACACUGGAACUGAGACACGGUCCAGACUCCUACGGGAGGCAGCAGUGGGGAAUAUUGGACAAUGGGCGAAAGCCUGAUCCAGCCAUGCCGCGUGUGUGAAGAAGGCCUCGGUUGGUUAAAGACGACUUUAA
rnacentral:rRNA from 1 species